rnacentral:tRNA from 1 species
AGGCGCGUAGCUCAGUGGUAGAGCACUACCUUGACAUGGUAGGGGUCGGGAGUUCAACUCUCCCCGCGCCUACCA